rnacentral:rRNA from 1 species
CGCAUCUGUGCAUGCAGCAUAUCAAUAAGCGGAGGAAAAGAAACUAACAAGGAUUCCCUUAGUAACGGCGAGUGAAGCGGGAAGAGCUCAAAUUUGAAAUCUUCAAGGUUUUACCUUGACGAAUUGUAGUUUAAAGAAGUGUUUUCUGCUGAAGUUUUGGUAAAAGUUCUUUGGAAUAGGACAUCAUAGAGGGUGAGAAUCCCGUAUUUGACCAUUACUUUUCAACUUUGUGAUACACUUUCAAAGAGUCGGAUUGUUUGGGAAUGCAGUCCAAAAUGGGUGGUAAAUUUCAUCUAAAGCUAAAUAUUGGCGAGAGACCGAUAGCGAACAAGUACCGUGAGGGAAAGAUGAAAAGAACUUUGAAAAGAGAGUUAAACAGUACGUGAAAUUGUCAAAAGGGAAGCGUUUGAUCACCAGUGUUGUUUUUCUGAAAAUCAAUUAAAGAACUGUUUAUGCUAAGUUGUUUAGACUUUAUCAGCUAUCUGUUUAGUUUUGAGCUUUUCUUUAAUGCACUUUUCAGUUAACAAGUCAACAUCAAUUUCUUUUGCUGAUAAAAAAGCUUGAGGAAGGUGGCUUGAGAUUCGUCUUAAGUGUUUAUAGCCUCUUGCCUAUGCAGUCGGAGAGAUUGAGGUCUGCAGCGUAGAUCCUUCGGGGCUAAAUGCAUUUGUGCUAAGUUAUAGCAUUUUAUAGACAACUUGUUGACUAUGAUUUGUCUUGUAGCUUACUCGCUUAUGUUAUUUUACCUACGCUUAGGAUGUUGAUAGUCACAGCGUGUAC